CUCCCUGUCGGUAAAGCAGAAGGCCCUCUGGUCUGCUGUGACCCCUCAUUGGUUCUGGGGGGGGGUGUAUCUGUAGUGCAUCUCCAAGGUGGAUCCGUUUAAUCCAGAAGAUCCAAGAGGAACCGAAAACGUGAGGGAAGAAACCUCAGUGAGAGCGUGAGAGGAGGAUCCGUCUCCUGAUGGACGGACUACGAUGACGUCAUGAGGACAGAAUGAACAACGUGCCGAUCUGCCUGCACCUGAGUUCCUGAAGAGAGCCGCCAAUCACCUGAGGGCCCUGCUGUUAAAAGGGAGAUCUGGAGCAGGUGUUCCUUUAGUUGUCAUGCACGCACAAGAAGUGCAGGUGGUGUCUAGAUGGUUUGAAGAAGAACCAGGACGUAGGAGUGGGCUGAACUAGAGGGACCUGACAAAACCUCCCGGUGGGCCGGUUUUUACCUGGAGUUGAACUCCCAGUGUUGCUGG
ensembl:lncRNA